rnacentral:lncRNA from 1 species
UGACCUCUUGAAGCUCAGUCUGAGCUGGGAAGGUCGGUCCCCUCCUCAUGUUAGCCAUCUUUUCCCAGAGAACAGCAACGAACACAACACCCGCAACCUACACAGGAACAAGCCAACAUGCCCAGAGAUGGUCAGUCGUAUUGGGAUAACAGUUCUAGCCUGAGGCGAAUCAUGAAGAUACCGAACCUCACCACCCUUUAUCCAUAUGGGGAUCCAUCCGUGUUUCCUGAGAAUAGUGAAGUGAACAUUCUGGGAGUGGAUGGGGUCAUGUACAAAGGCAGGAUGGCCUCUCGUGGUGCUCCACAUUCUGUUAUUACUGAGAAGGACCUGGCAGGAUUAAAGAGCCCAAGGGCCCCAUCAUCCCGCAGUGCAUGUGAGCAUAUACGUUCCAGUGUCUCUGGUGCCAUGUACCCUGCCUCACGCCCCAGAACCAGCAUGACAGCCCACGUCCUGCAGCAGUUCACUUCGCAGCCUAUGCUGACUUCGGGAACUCUCCAGCACUCCCCAUCCUCAGCUGCAAAUAUGUCCAGCACCAAAAACAGGCCUGUUUGCAGACCAGCUACCAGCAGUGGCCCGUUUGCCGCCAAGCCCAGCUCUGCUUCUUUACCUAUCAACGGCUUCAAUCCCAUUUCACCAGAAGAGGGAACCAGCAUCCAAGAACCUAUUCCUUCUUCCCAAGUUUAGUUUCCUGUCUAAACUGCCUUGGAAGCCAGUGACUCCUGGAUUCCUGGUCUCUCCUCCCCUUGCUCCUACCACAGAUGAAUAUUUUUGGAAACUUCUACUCAGAAUAAAAUGUAUCUUUUUUUUUCA